rnacentral:rRNA from 1 species
AUUGAACGCUGGCGGCAGGCUUAACACAUGCAAGUCGAACGGUAACAUAAAGGAGCUUGCUUCUUUGAUGACGAGUGGCGGACGGGUGAGUAAUGCUUGGGAAUCUAGCUUAUGGAGGGGGAUAACUACGGGAAACUGUAGCUAAUACCGCGUAGAAUCGGGAGAUGAAAGUGUGGGACCUUCGGGCCACAUGCCAUAGGAUGAGCCCAAGUGGGAUUAGGUAGUUGGUGAGGUAAAGGCUCACCAAGCCGACGAUCUCUAGCUGGUCUGAGAGGAUGACCAGCCACACUGGGACUGAGACACGGCCCAGACUCCUACGGGAGGCAGCAGUGGGGAAUAUUGCGCAAUGGGGGCAACCCUGACGCAGCCAUGCCGCGUGAAUGAAGAAGGCCUUCGGGUUGUAAAGUUCUUUCGGUAGCGAGGAAGGCAUUUAGUUUAAUAGACGAGGUGAUUGACGUUAACUACAGAAGAAGCACCGGCUAACUCCGU